UACGUAGGGGCGAGCGUUAUCCGGAAUUAUUGGGCGUAAAGAGCGCGCAGGUGGUUGAUUAAGUCUGAUGUGAAAGCCCACGGCUUAACCGUGGAGGGUCAUUGGAAACUGGUCGACUUGAGUGCAGAAGAGGGAAGUGGAAUUCCAUGUGUAGCGGUGAAAUGCGUAGAGAUAUGGAGGAACACCAGUGGCGAAGGCGGCUUCCUGGUCUGUAACUGACACUGAGGCGCGAAAGCGUGGGGAGCAAACAGGAUUAGAUACCCCU
rnacentral:rRNA from 1 species